rnacentral:rRNA from 1 species
GACGAACGCUGGCGGCGUGCUUAACACAUGCCAGUCGAACGGAAAGGCCCUGCUUUUGUGGGGUGCUCGAGUGGCGAACGGAUGAGUAACACGUGAGUAACCUGCCCUUGACUUUGGGAUAACUUCAGGACACUGGGGCUAAUACCGGAUAGGAGCUCCUGCUGCAUGGUGGGGGUUGGAAAGUUUCGGCGGUUGGGGAUGGACUCGCGGCUUAUCAGCUUGUUGGUGGGGUAGUGGCUUACCAAGGCUUUGACGGGUAGCCGGCCUGAGAGGGUGACCGGCAACAUUGGGACUGAGAUACGGCCCAGACGCGGACGGGAGGCAGCAGUGGGGAAUAUUGCAAAAUGGGCGGAAGCCGGAUGCAGCAACGCCGCGUGCGGGAUGACGGCCUUCGGGUUGUAAACCGCUUUCGCCUGUGACGAAGCGUGAGUGACGGUAAUGGGUAAAGAAGCACCGGCUAACUACGUG